GCUCUGCUGGAGGCCGACAACUCCCUAGAGAGGCAAGCAGGAAGGAGGAGCUGGAAAGGGCUGCCGCCUUGCUUUCUGGAAUUAGUGGGUUGAGGAGGAGCUAGGGUAGCUCAUAUUUGCAUAACAACGAAACACUGCCUAAAGCCCCAUGACCUGGGACUUUAGCAAGAUCACCUGGGAUUGCCCAAGGCGGCAGGUCGUAUAAGGGGCAGAGCGCUACCGGGCAGCGGGCCUUGGAUUUAUAGAAGGCACCUGUCCUCUAUGGCCGCUCCUCUCAAGAGGCUGGCCAAAUUUCAGAGCCAGAGAACACUUGAACUCUGAAGAGGGCAAACCAAGAGGUGAUGUUGGUACCGUGAAUCUCAGUGCCCCGUAGACCUGGUGGGAGGGGCUGAUUAGCAGCACUGACUGUCCGCUUCUGUUGCUUACUACCAGUGUGACGCUGAGGGACUCCAGCCUCCCAGGGGUAACAUCUGGGCUCCCAGCUGGACUCUGGAAGCCUGGAGAUACCUGUUAAGAAAGGGUGCACAGGUAGGGCUCAGGCCCUUAGUGGUCACGAGAUGGAAAGGUGGCUCUGUAGCUGAUAUGUAAGUGCAGGUUUUAGCAUGGAUUUAGAAACCUGAAAAUAGUUUAGAGCUUUCUCACUCUCCUGCUGUGUGACUACCAGGAAACAUGUCUUCCCUUCUGGCUUUGACUUGGCUGUGUCAAGAAGGCAAGGAGUUUAACUGUGAUUUGUUUGUUUCUCUCAUUGACAUUUAACACUUAAAGGGCAGAAACGGGCUUUGAGUGUGGAAUUUGAAGAGGAUAAUUGGGUCCACAUUGUAUAAGGAAAUAGGUUAUUUCUUGGCCUGCAGAGACCCAGUUUUGGCUCUGGGCCUGAGCUGAUGGACAGAGCAGGGAAUUAGGGCAGGAUCUGAAGGCUUCAGAUGUGAGAGCCUGGGGGGUGGGCAGAGAGGCUGAUUCCAGGCAGACAGCUGGCGGGACUCGGGCCAGGGCCUGGACAGCACAAGUUGGAGUUUUGGAAUUAGGCAGUUCUGAACUCUACCACUUGCUGUGUGACCCUCAGUUAGUAACUCAACCUCUCUGUUGUCUUUAAUAGAAUAUACACAUUCUAUGACCUUAGAGGGCUACUGUGAGACUGAAAUAAAAAUGAGGUGCUUGGCAAAGAGUAAUAAACUAGUUAGAGCUGCCGUUUAUGGGCACUUACAUAUGCUGGACACUAAGCCCUUCACACGUGUGGACUCCACAGCAGACCUUGCACGGGGCUGACUCCUGUGCUGUGUACCUUCUCUUUCAUCCUCAGCUCCAGCUUCUAGCAAAUAAUGAUGGGUUUAGAAGAGCCUCACUUGAGCUGAUGAAGUAGAAGGAGAAAGAGGCCCUAAAACCAAAAGAUCCACGAAUCUGAUGAAAACGGAGAUCUCCUAGACAGACAGACAGACAGACACACGUACAUAAUUUACAUGGAUUUCGGAGGAUUCACAGUGUCCUGAAAUCCCGCUGUGGUACCCAGCCGAGGCCCAAUGGAGCGCAGCACAAGAAUCCUUGCUCUAAGGACUUUGUAAGGGGGCGUUCUCCCAAAGUGUACCCACUCCAAUUCUUUGCAGCCUUAUUAUUGCUAUUAUUAUUAUUGUUGUUAUUGCCAUAGCUGCCUACACCUCCCCAUCCCUUCCAGUGUGUAGGGAGAGACGAGCCCCCAAAUACAGACAUCUUUUUAAAAUGUACCAAAAGGUGACGGAUGGGCCAGCUGUGGGUCCCUGACAUGGUGUACACAUGUCAUACUUCAAAGGUUGAGUGUUUGAACGGGUACCAUUCAGGAAACCACCCGUUUCCUCCUGGCCAAUUUAGCUGACCUUUAUCAUGAGGUUUCCAGCUGUCUUUCUUUCCUGCCUGCUGUUUUUGUUGUCUACCCUGCCCUGAUCUCAGGCUUAACUUUGGAGUUUUCUGUCCCUGCUCCUAAGGAAUCCCACUUGAUAACCUCAACAUUGAGCUAAGAAAAGUAUCAUUUUUUCAUUCAUGCAACAGAUUUUUUUGAGUUCUUUGUGCCAGGCAUGGGGGUAAAGAGGAUGGGUAUUGAGGAGCAUACAGCAAAUAAAGGCAAGCUAAUGCCAUGCCAUGUGAACUUUUACAGGCUUAUAAAUUUUUAUAUCAGCUUUCAGAGUAACCGGGCUAAGCUUUUUGUUUGUUUCCUAACAAGAGGAACUUUUAGUGAAAAUAUCUCUGACUCAGCUCCAUUAUCUACAGAGCUGUCAAGGGGUUUACUAGAGUUGUAAGGCGGAUCUAGAAAGAUAUGCAUGGCAUCAUGUUAAUAGAAUAUUAUAAAAAUGUAAUGAUAUUAUGAUAUUAUAAUAUAAAAAACAUAUAGGCUUAUGAACAAGGCCCAGAAUCUGUCCCAGGCAAAUGAAAACAUUGACCUAAACUGGAACAGGGAUGGUAAAAAAUAUUUUCUCUUUGGACUUCUGGGACUUUCAAUACAGUAUCUGUAGUAAUUAUUUUAAAAUGUUUUAAUACCAGACACAGUGGUACAUGCCUAUAGUCCCAGCACUUGAGAAGCUGAGACAGGAAGGUUUCUGGAAUCUAGGAGUUCAAGCCACAUUCAAGCCUUCCCCUCAUUCUUACUGAACUCCCAGUGACAGUUUGAAUUGGGGAUUGUGAAGAGCACAGGGAAACUAAAAAGCAGAGAACAGCCUUAGCCAACCCAAAAAGGCUGCAGCUCCUGGAUAACUAGAGACCAUGUUAGAUGUUUCUCUGCAUCAGGGUGAAGCAGGGUGUUGGUAAUGUGUACACAUUGGGAGUUAUCUUGUGUGAAUUCAAAUCUCAGCUCAGCCCCUUGAUAGCUCCAUAGUCCUGGGCAAUCUCCUAACCUUCCCAAACCUCAAUUUCCUUGUCUAUAAAAAUGGGUGUGGGGGCAAUUGUACUGAACUCAUAGGGUAGUUGUGUGGUUUAAAGAAAAUAAUCUGCAAACAGCAAUAGUUCUCAGCCUUGCCUGCACCUUAAAGUCACCUGGAGAGCUGCAAAUAUUUCUGAUGCCUCAGCACCCUGAACUGAGUAUAUCAGAUACUCUAGGGUGCCCUCCCAGCCUCCGUGGGGAGUGGCUGGAGCUGGAGCUGGAUCACGUGUGUGGAGCUGGAGCAAGGCUGGUCUCGAGAACAAAGAGCGCCAGAGGUGAGCCACAUGAACAAGCUACUGCAGCCUGGAGAAUGCCAAGUGUGAGAGGAGAGGCAAGCAAACAGAAGAGUGGUGUGAGUGGAUGAUGAUGAUAAUGAUUUUGAUGUUGGCCAUGUAAGCCAAAGUUCCUGUGAUAGUGAAAUGGAGCAAGAAUUGACUACUACAGGCACAGAGAAUACAGAGCUCCUUGAUACGGAUGAUGAAGAAAACAGCAAUGUUUCCGACUGAUGUUACAUUUGCUAACAAGUUGACCAGCAC